rnacentral:rRNA from 1 species
UGUUCGGGUUGUGUCGCCAGACGCAUUGCCCGGUAGCUAAGUUCGGCACAGAUAAGCGCUGAAAGCAUCUAAGCGCGAAGCUGGCCCCGAGAUGAGUCAUCCCUAGAGCCUCGAGCUCUCUAAAGGGUUGUUCUAGACGAGAACGUUGAUAGGCAGGGUGUGUAAGCGCUGUGAGGCGUUGAGCUAACCUGUACUAAUGGCCCGUGAGGCUUAACCAUACAACACCCAAGSGGUU